rnacentral:rRNA from 1 species
UGGCAAUAGGGCAGCUAUACAUGCAAGUCGGACGGGAUCUAAAAUUAAGCUUGCUUAAUUUUAGUGAGAGUGGCGCACGGGUGCGUAACGCGUGAGCAACCUACCCAUAUCAGGGGGAUAGCCCGGUGAAAAUCGGAUUAACACCGCAUGACACAGCGACUCGGCAUCGAGAUGUUGUUAAAUAUUUAUAGGAUAUGGAUGGGCUCGCGUGACAUUAGCUAGUUGGUAAGGUAACGGCUUACCAAGGCAACGAUGUCUAGGGGCUCUGAGAGGAGAAUCCCCCACACUGGUACUGAGACACGGACCAGACUCCUACGGGAGGCAGCAGUAAGGAAUAUUGGUCAAUGGAGGGAACUCUGAACCAGCCAUGCCGCGUGCAGGAUGACUGCCCUAUGGGUUGUAAACUGCUUUUGUCCAGGAAUAAACACCUCUACGUGUAGAGGCUUGAAUGUACUGGAAGAAUAAGGAUCGGCUAACUCCGUGCCAGCAGCCGCGGUAAUACGGAGGAUCCGAGCGUUAUCCGGAUUUAUUGGGUUUAAAGGGUGCGUAGGCGGCCUAUUAAGUCAGGGGUGAAAGACGGCAGCUUAACUGUCGCAGUGCCUUUGAUACUGAUAGGCUUGAAUGUGGUUGAAGAUGGCGGAAUGAGACAAGUAGCGGUGAAAUGCAUAGAUAUGUCUCAGAACUCCGAUUGCGAAGGCAGCUGUCUAAGUCAUUAUUGACGCUGAUGCACGAAAGCGUGGGGAUCGAACAGGAUUAGAUACCCUGGUAGUCCACGCCCUAAACGAUGAUAACUCGAUGUUGGCGAUAUACAGUCAGCGUCUUAGCGAAAGCGUUAAGUUAUCCACCUGGGGAGUACGCCCGCAAGGGUGAAACUCAAAGGAAUUGACGGGGGCCCGCACAAGCGGAGGAGCAUGUGGUUUAAUUCGAUGAUACGCGAGGAACCUUACCCGGGCUUGAAAGUUACUGAAUUAUCUAGAGAUAGAUAAGUCCUUCGGGACAGGAAACUAGGUGCUGCAUGGCUGUCGUCAGCUCGUGCCGUGAGGUGUUGGGUUAAGUCCCGCAACGAGCGCAACCCCUAUGUUUAGUUGCCAGCAUGUAAUGAUGGGGACUCUAAACAGACUGCCAGCGUAAGCUGUGAGGAAGGUGGGGACGACGUCAAGUCAUCAUGGCCCUUACGUCCGGGGCUACACACGUGCUACAAUGGAUGGUACAGCGGGCAGCUACACAGUAAUGUGAUGCUAAUCUCGAAAAGCCAUUCACAGUUCGGAUUGAGGUCUGCAACUCGACCUCAUGAAGUUGGAUUCGCUAGUAAUCGCGUAUCAGCAAUGACGCGGUGAAUACGUUCCCGGGCCUUGCCCCCCCCCGUCAAGCCAUGAAAGUUGGGGGUGCCUAAAGCAUGUAACCGCAAGGAGCGUGUUAGGUAAAAACCCGAAAGUUUCC